rnacentral:rRNA from 1 species
UACGAAGGGGGCUAGCGUUGCUCGGAAUCACUGGGCGUAGAGGGCGCGUAGGCGGCUGUUCAAGUCGGGGGUGAAAGCCUGUGGCUCAACCACAGAAUUGCCUUCGAUACUGGACGGCUCGAGACCGGAAGAGGUCAGUGGAACUGCGAGUGUAGAGGUGAAAUUCGUAGAUAUUCGCAAGAACACCAGUGGCGAAGGCGGCUGACUGGUCCGGUUCUGACGCUGAGGCGCGAAAGCGUGGGGAGCAAACAGG